rnacentral:lncRNA from 1 species
CGUUGCCUUUCUCCCUGCUCCUUCUCGGCGUCUUCAUCCGCCAACACCUCUAAGGUACGCGAAUCCGCGUGCAACACCUACCUCUUUCUUCUCUAUGUAGCGUGAGGGUAUCCGUCAUUAGGCUAUACGAGUGAAUUUGUGACGCGAGUUUGAUUCGAUUUAUUUUGUUGUGCUCUGCCCAAAUAUUGCGGAGAGUAGCUGGUCACAAGAUGAUGGCAAGUUCCUAAUUCCAAUGAAGUUUAUAUUGUGUAGCUUUCUUCGUGAUGAUUUGGAUUUGUGCAGUCAUGUUCAAGUCCAAUGAUAUUUUGUGCAAGCAGACCGCUCUCAAGGUUUGUACUUCUUACCUUGUGUGUGAGCGUGCUUGUUGUGCUUCUAGAGGUUAAUUAAUUAGUUGUUCUGGCAAGCAGACUGCUCUUAAGGGAUUGAGGUUCUUAUGUGUUGUAUCAACGUUAUUGCUAUUGUUCUAGCAGGCUAUAGGGUUGGGGGAGCGAUGGUGCCAGUGUCAUGUCGGGCUCCGGUUUCGGUCAAUACCAAAGAUUGUGAUGCCUCACCGUGGCUACAGGUUGAAACUUCGUGCUGCAGUUUCGUCUUCCGUCCUGUUUGGUCCAGAGGAAACAUUAGAUCCUUGGUCUUCCGGAUCAAGCGAUGGUGCCCUACAACGUCGCAUUCCUCGGAUGGGGCUUCGCCUUUGAGCUUGCCUUGCUAGGGGGACUGGUGGCUCUAAAAAUCAUCUCACUCUACUGUUGCUCUGUAGUGUAUGAUGAUGUUUCUCUUGUUAUUUUCAAUCUUACACCCUCAGUCAUGAGGUGAGCUUAGUGGAUUGUGAUUUUCAAGACAGCCUACUUGAUGCCAUAUUUACAUAGCUUGCUUGGUGAAAUUCAGUUUAUAGUUUCUCAGUAUUUAAUCAACCGAUCAAAGUUUAAUUUGUUAAACAAUAAGCAAUAAAAUCCUCCACUCUCAUUAUUUAAUUCUGUUUGGCAAUGGAGCUAGUUUCUCAUGCAUCUAUCUUUUCAUUUAGCUAGCUAGCUAACUUGGUCCAUUUCAAUUAAACAUCUAUCUUUUCAUCUAUCUUCUCAUGCAUCUAAUUCUGUUUGGCAGUAAAUUUUGGUUAACACGAGCAGUGAGCAGAGGAAGCAGCGAGGAUGGGCGGUGCGGCCACACCUCUGGGCCAUGGCGUAAGCGGUGGAGCCUGUGGGCGUCCGUAUCAGGUCGAAGGCGAGGCUGUUGUUCGGAUCCGGAGCACGAGCGACGAAUGGAGCCACCACGUCCGCGCACUCCAGGAGUGAAUGGCAAGAUCAGGCCAUGGCAAAGGAUCUCAAAAUACAUGGCGCUAGUUGCUUUUAGGGACAACCACACAGUGUACAGUCUCGAUCUAAUUCACGUAAUCACAUAUAUCAUUCAUGGAUUGGAGAGAAAGUGAGAGGCCCAAGAAAAUCCACUUGAUAUUACAUGUAUAAUGAUGCAAUUCACACAAAUGACAAGCUUAUCAAGAUUGCCACGGAGGUACUCAAAUGAUUUGAAUUUCAAGCUCUUCUUUUUUCUUGGUUACCAGUCUGUAGUAGAUGAUAAGUAUUGGUGCUCAGUUCCUCAACUAUAAUCAGACUUUUACAUAAAACUAAUAGCUGAUUUC